UUGGUUUUUAUCUUAUUCACAUCUCUCCUUCCUAUUUCCCUAGUCUCUCUCUCCUUCCCUCUCACUUCAGAGACAAGCUUGCAUUAGCAUUACUACUGAAAGCCUUCAGCUAAGGCACUUAGUCCAUCAUCAAAGAUAGCAUUAAGGAUGGACACAAGAGGUUUCCUCUCAUUGCAGUUCAUGAUAGUCACUGAGGAUAAACAACUUUGCUUUGUAGAAUACCUGUGUGUUCCUGAAGAUGAUAGCAAAGAUGACUAGCAAUGAUAAGCAAUCAACUUUAAACCAAAAAACUACCAACCAGCUUCACCUACAAUCACUGUAAAUACGCUUCAUCGGUUAAUAAUGGAAAUUGAUUUAU